GACGUAGGGCGCGAGCGUUGUCCGGAUUUAUUGGGCGUAAAGAGCUCGUAGGCGGUUUGUCGCGUCGUUCGUGAAAACUCACAGCUUAACUGUGAGCUUGCGGUCGAUACGGGCAGGCUAGAGUUCGGUAGGGGAGACUGGAAUUCCUGGUGUAGCGGUGAAAUGCGCAGAUAUCAGGAGGAACACCAGUGGCGAAGGCGGCUUUCUGGUCUGUUCUUGACGCUGAGGCGCGAAAGCUAGGGUAGCAAACGGG
rnacentral:rRNA from 1 species